CCAGGUACCAGCUCGCAGCUGCACCCUGUUCCAUAGGCACCACAUGCACGGCAUCCAUGUGUCUCAGCUUGCGCUCUGUGUCCUGCCCUUUCCCUCUCUCUUUUGCAGGCCAUAACAAGGAUGUAGUUGGACCAUGUCCUCAGGGAAGCAGUAGGAAGGUGUCUAGGACAGAUGACAAGUGGUUCUCAAUCCUCACCACAGUUUGGAGCAGUUCUUGCUAGUCUAGAGUCAGGCACAACAGUAAAAUCACUUGCGUGCCUGCUUGAGCAAUACAGACAAAAUCAGAGAGCACUGAUUUUGCUCUUAUUUAAGAUCCUUUCUUGGCAGACAUAGGCUGUUUCCAUAGAAUCAACUCAGCUGGAGGAGGAAGGAAGACACAAGAUUCAAUCUCACUGCUUUCUCAAAAUUAUAAAUCAGCAGAAGAGCCCUCCAGGAGCGUGAAUGGCGUAUCUUAGUUAUCAAAAGAAGAAUUCCCGGUCCUGCAGAAAAAUGCAUAGCACAGCAUUGUCCGUGUCAUUAAAAAGAAAUUGCCGUGCCAUAUUCCCAUGCAGCCAAGAUCUCCUCAGGAAUGCAGGAUAUUGGUCACUGAACCUCACCAUCCAUGCACAAGUAAAUGAAUUAUAUGAUUCAGUGGUUACCAGAUACACAGCUCUCCCUCUCAUGUUGAAUUCCCACAUUUCUCAUUCCUCCCUCUCUCUCUUUUUGUAAUUACUCUCCCAUUUUCUCUGUUCCCAGUGACAGGUAUAAUACACAGAGUAUUCCUGGUUCCAAGCUGUACUGCUGCCUUCCUGGUUUUAUGGAAGCUUUCUCUGCAGGGAAGAAAGAAGCAUGGUCACUACUCGGCUGCUGGAUGAACGAUGAACAGCAUGACUGAGCAACAUGCCAUGGGGAGCAGGGAGCUGGGGGCAGCCCCUGCACAGUGCUCUUGUAGGCGCUCAGAAACCGGGAAGCAUUUACCAGAUUGCCGGCAGAAGCCAUCACACCAUUUCGUUUCCCUCUACUGAUGAUGUGUGAGAUAUGUUUAGGGAGUUUUUUUUUUUCUGUUUUGAUGCUAACAGAGGCUGGGGCUGGAAAGGAAAGCCGUAAUUUUUGGCAAAGCUUGCAGGUGACAUGGAAAACAGGAAGGGUCUCUCUGACAGAGCCAGGUUGCCAUACUCACUCUGCUCCCAUGGAAGACAGAAAGGGAUGGUGGGGGGGGUGGUGUUGUGAGGCCUCACACAGCUCCACCCCGAGGUCACCUCAUCUGCCUUUACCAACUUCAGCUUGAUGCUUCCCACAGGUACAGGUGCCCUAAUACUCCUCACUUCUUCACAGGCCACUGUUUCCAGACAUGCUGGAAGGGCAGAGAAAUAAGAUGGGGCAAUAAAAAGUGUUAAGGAAGGAAAGCUGGAAACAGAUUUCUUCCCCCAGCACCCUCUGUGAGAGUUGGAGAGCCAAUGUGGAGAGCUACUGCCAGAGAAAGUGGGAAUGAAGAGAGU